AGUAAAUUGGUUAAGUUAGAAAGGGCGCACGGUGGAUGCCUUGGCACUAGGAGCCGAAGAAGGACGGGACUAACACCGAUAUGCUUUGGGGAGCUGUACGUAAGCGUUGAUCCAGAGAUUUCCGAAUGGGGGAACCCACUAUCUUUAGUCGGAUAGUAUCCUUACGUGAAUACAUAGCGUGAGGAAGGCAGACCCAGGGAACUGAAACAUCUAAGUACCUGGAGGAAGAGAAAGAAAAAUCGAUUUCCUGAGUAGCGGCGAGCGAAACGGAAAGAGCCCAAACCAAGAAGCUUGCUUCUUGGGGUUGUAGGACACUCUAUACGGAGUUACAAAAGAAAGUUAUAAAUGAAGCGGUCUGGAAAGGCCCGCCAAAGACGGUAACAGCCCGGUAGUUGAAAUAGCUUUCCCUCCAGAGUGGAUCCUGAGUACGGCGGAACACGUGAAAUUCCGUCGGAAUCCGGGAGGACCAUCUCCCAAGGCUAAAUACUCCCUAGUGACCGAUAGUGAACCAGUACCGUGAGGGAAAGGU
rnacentral:rRNA from 1 species